AAGUAGCCGCGGCAUAAUCAUGAAGAGUCAGCAGAGCUUCGCGAACUUCCUCAAUCCGGACUUGCUUCUCGGCCUGGAUUUGAGAUUUUGGAAAACUAGAGACUGUACCUGACAGAAAAGAGUUGCUCCAGCUCCCGAGUUUCUCCAAGGAGUUCCUCGUCAUAUCUUGAACCGGCUUCGAAACAGCUGCACCUUGCUGAAUCGCGAUGUUCAUCCCAAUCAGGUACUGAUUCAUGUUGGUUAUCAUUCGGCUCACGUUUUCACCUUGACUCCUUGCUUGAACCAAAACCCCAGGCUCCCAAGCUAUUUCAACCUGUAUGUAGCACACACUGUCAGUAUGAGAGAGUUUCCUUCUCUGAGGUACGUUACUUUUCUUCUCUGUAUCUCCGAGUACGCUUUCAAAGCAGCUCGCUGCACUGAUUUGGAUUGCAGGCACAAACUCGUGAUCUCUUCUUGGUCGUUACUGCAGAAUGCAUGGACAAGGACAGCAAAGUUUUCCAUCGCGAGCUUGGCGAAGAGCUUCGUGUUAUAUUGCACCUGUGAAGCAGAAGAACAAACGUAAGCGCAGAGGUUAUGAAGCUUGGAAGUGUUGGGACCGAAAGGAAGGCUUCCUAGGUGGAUCAAAGGCUUUUGGACGGAAUCGUGACGGAAAGUGGCAUGCCGGCUUAGUGUUCCUACAAGACACGGCUUGCGGAGAGAAUGGAGGAACCAAAAACUUUAAAGGGGGGUGAAUGACUCAAAGUAAAGCGAAUGGUACCUGAUAAGCUGAGAGGCGUGGCACGGGGAAUAUCAAGGCAAUUAUCGCAGACACAGUGCCGAGCGUGGUG
rnacentral:lncRNA from 1 species